rnacentral:rRNA from 1 species
GUCUACGGCCAUGCUGCCUUGACCAAGCCCAAUUCCGUCUGAUCUUGGAAGCUAAGCAGUGUCGGGUCUGGUUAGUACUUGGAUGGGAGACCAUGUAGGAAGACUAGGUACUGUACGUG